rnacentral:rRNA from 1 species
UUACCGNCUUGACAUUAGAGAGAUUAGUUCGCUAACAGGUGCUGCAUGGCUGUCGUCAGCUCGUGUCGUGAGAUGUUGGGUUAAGUCCCGCAACGAGCGCAACCCCAUUUUAGUUGCCAUCAUGUGGGACUCUAAGAAACUGCCGGUGAUAACCGGAGGAAGGUGGGGAUGACGUCAAGUCCUCAUGGCCCUUAUGGCGGGCUACACACGUGCUACAAUGGGUGACAAGAGGCAGGGCGACCGGAGCAAUCUUUAAAGCGUCUCAGUUCGGAUUGCACUCUGCAACUCGAGUGCAUGAAGUUGGAAUCGCUAGUAAUCGCGAUCAGCAUGCGCGGUGAAUACGUUCACGGGCCUUGUACACACCGCCCGUCAUACCAUGGGAGUUGAUCACCUAA